CCUACGGGAGGCAGCAGUGAGGAAUAUUGGUCAAUGGACGAGAGUCUGAACCAGCCAAGUAGCGUGAAGGAUGACUGCCCUAUGGGUUGUAAACUUCUUUUAUAUGGGAAUAAAAUGUUCCACGUGUGGGAUUUUGUAUGUACCAUAUGAAUAAGGAUCGGCUAACUCCGUGCCAGCAGCCGCGGUAAUACGGAGGAUCCGAGCGUUAUCCGGCUUUAUUGGGUUUAAAGGGAGCGUAGGUGGAUUGUUAAGUCAGUUGGGAAAGUUUGCGGCUCAACCGUAAAAUUGCGGUUGAAACUGGCAGUCUUGAGUACAGUAGAGGUGGGCGGAAUUCGUGGUGUAGCGGUGAAAUGCUUAGAUAUCACGAAGAACUCCGAUUGCGAAGGCAGCUCACUGGACUGCAACUGACACUGAGGCUCGAAAGUGUGGGUAUCAAACAGGAUUAGAUACCCGAGUAGUC
rnacentral:rRNA from 1 species